UCGAUACCAAAGUUCAAUUUUGGCAGAGUUUUAAUCUACUUCAAGCCUUAGGAGGCUUUUGAGUAGGCAGAAGCUGCGACUUCUUUAAUCUGAAGGGGCAGAAGUGGCUGGACUUGAGGACUUAGCAAGCUGGAACUGCAUUGUAAAAUUUGUUGAGGUUUUCAUAUUUGUGUAAACUCAAACUCUGCUUGUCUUGACUUUUGCUGAACCAAAUGUGUAACCAGAGAAGUCUCGUUUUGAAUGACUUAUUUCUCUAAGCCUGAACUUUGA
rnacentral:lncRNA from 1 species